AACGAACGUUAGCGGCGCGCCUAACACAUGCAAGUCGAACGCGAGAGGGGCGACUCUCUUGAGUGGCGCACGGGUGAGUAACACGUAGGUAAUCUUCCCCCGAGUGGCGGAUAACCUUCCGAAAGGAGGGAUAAUACAGCAGAAGACCACGGCCCCGAAAGAGGCUGAGGUCAAAUCGGAGGAUCGCAAGCCUUAGCGCUUGGGGAUGAGCCGGCGGCCCAGCAGGUAGUUGGCGGGGUAACAGCCCACCAAGCCUAAGACGGGUAGCUGGUCUGAGAGGAUGCUCGGCCACACUGGAACUGAGACACGGUCCAGACUCCUACGGGAGGCAGCAGUGGGGAAUCUUGCGCAAUGGACGAAAGUCUGACGCAGCGACGCCGCGUGGGUGAUGAAGGCCUUCGGGUUGUAAAGCCCUGUGGGGAGGGACGAAUAAGUUCCGGUUAAUACCCGGAGCGAUGACGGUACCUCCUUAGCAAGCACCGGCUAACUCUGUGCCAGCAGCCGCGGUAACAC
rnacentral:rRNA from 1 species